UACAGAGGGUGCAAGCGUUAUUCGGAAUUACUGGGCGUAAAGCGCGCGUAGGUGGUGGGUUAGGUCGGAUGUGAAAGCCCCGGGCUCAACCUGGGAACUGCAUCUGAAACUGGACGACUAGAGUACAGUAGAGGGUAGUGGAAUUUCCUGUGUAGCGGUGAAAUGCGUAGAUAUAGGAAGGAACACCAGUGGCGAAGGCGACCACCUGGACUGAUACUGACACUGAGGUGCGAAAGCGUGGGGAGCAAACAGG
rnacentral:misc_RNA from 1 species